UGUAAUGGUUUUAGUUAUAUUCAACUGGUUAUGACUGUUUGGUUUGUUUGCAACAGAUCACCUGUGUCCUACAAUGACAACAACUACUGUAAUGAUCAUAGAUCAAGGGGCGGAGUGUUGUAGGAGCAGCACAUGUCAUUUUUCAUCC